AAUAGGCCGUGCAGUUGCUGAAUCUGUCUUCAUUUCAGAAUGACAAAGGUCAGUUUAAAAGAUUUCCGUCAGCUUUGGAGAGGCGGCGAACCGAGCCGGCCGAUCAGUUGAAUCCAGCUGAUCGACCAACUUUAUGCAAAUGAGGACCGGGCGACUCGACGCCCCUCUUCUCUAAAGUCCCCGUGAAGCUACCAGAAUGAAUUGCACGGCUGCUCCCGUAGACAACGAAUGGGAAGUGUGGACAUUAUGCUGCCUGUGGACAUGUACCUAGGACUGGGUACGGAAUUCCUUUUUAGGCACCGACCGAAUUGAGUAUCGAAAAAGGCCUCGUCAUUCAAUAGAGCUCCGGGCGUCAAACGACUUGACUGUUUACGCCGCCAUUUUGAAAAAUCACCCGCGCCAAAAAGUCUGAUUUUCAGCAGCCAGCCUCCCUCCCAUCCACAGCGGAUAUAUUUUACACGUGCGGCUGGCGCUGAUAAGGCCGCUAAACUGCAUCGCUUUGAAUGGAAGUGAAUGCUCCGUUGUUGUGAAGCUAGCGCUAGCGCUAACGGGAUCUCCGUUUGCAGAGUUCAGGAUGUAGCGGACUCUCCCGGUGACCGUGCUGCUCUGGGGGACCGGUGUUUUAACUGGUUUUCGGAUUAACUGGUGAUCUUCCAGAUGCGACGUAGGCGUGGCAUGAGAAGCCCUGGCCAGGAAUGCUCAUGUAGGUGACUGUAUCGAUGCCUGUUUUAAAUACCACGAACGUCAAUAAAUCGUUCACAUGUUGACGUUGUCAUUCUUAUUUGUGUCAUAAUCCUGUUGAAUGUGUUUGUAAUUAGGUUUAUUAAAACAGUCUGAGGUACCAUCGAUCAAAGGCUAUGCUCCUAUCAUUUAAACCUACAAAGAUCUAAUAUUUAACAUGGGCAACGCAACAGCUGUGGUGUAAAAAAACUAAACCAAAGUUUCCAAACGUCAACAUGAUGCACGAAUUCAAGUUCAAUAUGCAAUGCAAGCUCUAGGUCGUGUUACGGUAGGAAAUACAUUGCUGCAUGUCAUCCGUUCUCUCUCUCUUGCUCCCGCAUUCACUGGCUCCCUUCAGCUGCUCCUACAAAGUUUUUUUGACAAUUCUGAAUGGUUUGGUCCAUGUGACAAUCAUUUUAGACUUUGAACUUGAAUUAAUUAAGGGCGGAAAAAAAAAGCCCAAUGAAAAACGAUUAUUCUUGGACAGCACUAUAUUACUCAAUCAUUUCUUAAGAUUGAUCUGUACACACUUCGGUCCAAAUUAAACACAGGUGUAAUUGAUUUUGCACUUAGGGAAGUUGGAGGCACAGGUGUAGCAACUAAAAUCAGGGGUGAGGGGUAGACUAUAAACAUCUGAGUUGCAGGUCACCAUUUUGCGGGUUGUUGAGUAGGUUGGAUAGUAGAUAAGACGAUAGUGAGCAGGAAUACUUAGUGAAGAGAGUGUGUGAGUGUUUAUUGUAACAGUGGUUGUCUUGUGAGUGAUAGUGGGUAAGUAAUUGUGGUUUUUCUGAGACAGGCUGGUAUUUUAGGUUUGUUGCACCCGUUUGGCUCUGUGUAUUGUCUUGUAUUUGCUUGUUUGUGUGUUAGUCUAGAGUUUAGUGUGAGCAGGAGGUAGGUCAGACAGGUGGAGGUAGGGCCACAAAGAUGGAUCCUAAAAUAGUUCGAGAGGUGCUGGAUCUCAAACUGCAUAACAAGUAUCCCAAAGGAUUAAGCAGCAAGGAGAGAAGAGCUGAAACCUUCAGGAUAAAAAGGGUGAGGAAACAUGCAUUAUGCACUGCAGAAAUUCCCGAUUAUCUGUUAUGCUACAACUCCAAGUAAAUCUAAUAUUAUGACAUUUAAACACCAGAUGGAGACCUGUACUACAUCUGCAGGUGAAAAAGAAAAUCAGUCACAGCACCUGGCAAAAGUUGUACUUGACUGCAGAAGAGGCCAAUUAUAUUUUUGAGGAGUUUCACUGCAGCCAGAUUGGUGGACACAGUGGAACGGAGAAACCCCACAGUGCUAUAAUCAGCCGCUACUACUGGCCUGGAAUGGAGGAGGAAAUUCGCAAGCGGGUUGCUCAGUGUCGUCAGUGCCAGUCGAAGAGGGCACAUAUUAAAGAAAAGACCCAAUACAAUCCAAUAGCGGUAAAGGAAAUUAUGGCAUACGCUCACUUUUUAAAACAUUACUGAUAUUCUCAUUUCUUCUUUUUAUACCUUUUCUCAGGUUUCAGAGCCUCUGGAACUUGUUGGGAUGGAUCUGACUGCUAACAGACCAGGGCUCAGAGUUUUGCAACAAGGUCCCUGAACAAAGUGGUGGCUGACCACCCCAAAGAUUGGGACCAGUAUUUGCAGUCCACAGUGUUUGCACUUCGGACAAAGAAGCAGUAAUCAGAGACCUAUGGGCAGGAGGGUUGUAAAGAGACCUUGUGGUCAAAGGCUGGGCCAUACAAAGUGGAUUCAGAGAAAAUUAUGGACCUGGCCCCCGGAAAGGAGUUGGAGACCGAGGUUGCGAAUGCAUACCUAUGCAUGUGGACCGUAGAACGGGGGGCAAGCAUUAUUGACGUCUAUACCAUGACUCAGGUCUGGCAGGGCUCCCAAAAAAUGUUUUAGAAGGAUUCAGAUGAAAACUAUGACGACAACAGCUGGUGUACAAGCGGUUGCUGUAAUUUGUAACUACGUUUCCAUAGAUCAUGUAUCUCAAGGAGAAGAGGUCCUUGUACGUGGACCCAUUUGGGGCCACGCAACAACAAAUGGAUCAUUGCAGGGAUGUGACAAGAGCUCCUGGUCCGGAAACAUUAUCCGGCUAUCGGGAAAUGGACAUGCUCCACGGUUGCCCAUCCCAAACAGCAGGACACAACAUCAUGUGGAGUGUUUGUGUGCAAGAUGACUUGUCCCUAGCUGUGUGGGGCUUGUGGGGAGGAGAGCUCGGGGGGCUGACACUGAUGACUGGGUAAGCAGCAUAUUUCAGCUGCAGACCAACGCUUGACUGGAAGACUGGGACCCACCAUGUUUAGGUUACCUUCAAAUCAUCGAGUGAACUCUGAGAAUAACAACGUUAUUGAACAUUUGUAGUGUUUCUCUUUUAGAUUGAGUGCACCAACUAAAUGGUACCACUGUGUGUGUGUGUGUGUAUGUUGGGCAUCCCUCCACAGAGGGAGGCUAUUUUUGUAAGGGCUGUAUAUUUUAAAAUAAUACUUGUUUCCCAUUGUUCAUUGCAAGUAUGAGCUGAGGGGAAUGUACAUGUUCACAAACAAGAUCAGCAAAAAACUUGUAAACUUGUGGAAUCUUUUAGAUGAGGAAGUAAAAAUGUAUUACACGUUACAAAGAUUAAAAAAAAUAUAUAUACUAAAAAGUAGGAUGAUUAAAAAAUAUAAAAGCUAGGCAUGAAUGGCAAUAAGUAUAUGAAUGGGAAUGUGUUUUAUUUAUUUUGCACAUAUGUGUGAUAAUAUGUAUAUAAAUACAAAAAUUAAUAAUACAUUUUAUAUAAAUUGAUAAUAUCCUGAGGGACCUAACAACAAGAAAAGAAUAAUAUGUAAAAAGGGGAGGUGUUGAUGACACUGCUUGAACUAAGGUGACACUUUGUUUUUGGUUGUGUUUUUUACCAUUUAUGUUAUGUAAGUGAUGUUGUGGUAUUUAUGUGAUUGAUUGAAAUAAACUAAAUAGUUGUCUUUCCUUCAGUCACAGUAUUGGGUCAAUGUAUUUCCUAC